AAGAUCAUACUUUUAGGGAUCAUUUAUAUAGUGUGCAUCUUGAAAACGUCAUCAAAUUAUGACGAAUCCUGAACUACGAUGCUGAGUUGUAGGGAUUACUUCUGAGCAUGAAGCUUGGUUCGUUGUAUCUUCGGAUGUUACGAACUAUUGAGGAUUGUUCUUUGAUUUCCAAUUGGAGAUCUAGCGGAGGAAGGAAUCUCCGGCUGAGUAGU
rnacentral:snoRNA from 1 species